GAUGAACGCUGGCUACAGGCUUAACACAUGCAAGUCGAGGGGAAACGACGGGGAAGCUUGCUUCCCCGGGCGUCGACCGGCGCACGGGUGAGUAACGCGUAUCCAACCUGCCUCUGACUGAGGGAUAACCCGUCGAAAGUCGGCCUAAUACCUCAUGGCAUCGUCUGCGGGCAUCCAACGACGAUUAAAGAUUUCAUCGGUCAGAGAUGGGGAUGCGUCUGAUUAGCUUGUUGGCGGGGUAACGGCCCACCAAGGCGACGAUCAGUAGGGGUUCUGAGAGGAAGGUCCCCCACAUUGGAACUGAGACACGGUCCAAACUCCUACGGGAGGCAGCAGUGAGGAAUAUUGGUCAAUGGGCGAGAGCCUGAACCAGCCAAGUAGCGUGCAGGAUGACGGCCCUAUGGGUUGUAAACUGCUUUUAUGCGGGGAUAAAGUGAGGGACGUGUCCUUCAUUGCAGGUACCGCAUGAAUAAGGGCCGGCUAAUUCCGUG
rnacentral:rRNA from 1 species